CAGCAGCCGCGGUAAUACGUAGGUGGCAAGCGUUGUCCGGAUUUACUGGGUGUAAAGGGCGUGUAGGCGGGAAUACAAGUCAGAUGUGAAAUACUGCGGCUCAACUGCAGAACUGCAUCUGAAACUGUAUUACUUGAGUACUGGAGAGGAAAGCGGAAUUCCUAGUGUAGCGGUGAAAUGCGUAGAUAUUAGGAGGAACACCGGUGGCGAAGGCGGCUUUCUGGACAGUAACUGACGCUGAGACGCGAAAGCGUGGGGAGCAAACAGGAUUAGAUACCCUGGUAGUCCACGCCGUAAACGAUGGAUACUAGGUGUAGGAGGUAUCGACCCCUCCUGUGCCGCCGUUAACACAUUAAGUAUCCCACCUGGGGAGUACGGUCGCAAGACUGAAACUCAAAGGAAUUGACGGGGGCCCGCACAAGCAGUGGAGUAUGUGGUUUAAUUCGAGGCAACGCGAAGAACCUUACCAGGGCUUGACAUCGCCUGACAGCGCUAGAGAUAGCGUGUCUCUUCGGAGCAAGUAGACAGGUGGUGCAUGGUUGUCGUCAGCUCGUGUCGUGAGAUGUAGGGUUAAGUCCCGCAACGAGCGCAACCCUUGCCGUCAGUUGCCAUCAUUAAGUUGGGCACUCAGGCGGGACUGCCGGUGAUAAAUCGGAGGAAGGUGGGGAUGACGUCAAAUCAUCAUGCCCCUUAUGUCCUGGGCUACACACGUACUACAAUGGUUACUACAAUGGGAAGCGAAGCCGCGAGGUGGAGCUAAUCCCCAAAGGUGGCCUCAGUUCGGAUUGUAGGCUGAAACUCGCCUACAUGAAGUCGGAAUUGCUAGUUAUUGCAGGUCAGCAUACUGCAGUGAAUACGUUCCCGGGCCUUGUACACACCGCCCGUCACACCAUGAGAGUUUGUAACACCCGAAGUCGGUAGUUUAACCUUUAUUGAGGACGCCGCCGAAGGUGGGACAGAUGAUUAGGGUGAAGUCGUAACAAGGUAACCGUA
rnacentral:rRNA from 1 species